rnacentral:lncRNA from 1 species
UGAAUGAAACAAGACAUCAAGCAUAAAUUCUAUAUGAUUCUAUUUACAUGGAAUUUAAGAACAGGCAAAACUAAUAGGUUAGCUUUCAGGGGCAAGUAUUGACUGGGAAGGGCACAUGGAGCCUUCUGGUAUACUGCAAAUAUUUUCCAUCUCAAUCUGGGCAGUAGUUAAAUGGUUAUAUGUCUAUGUAAAAAUUCAUCAAGCUGUAUACAUAAGAGUCUUAAGAUUUGUGCACUUUAUUAUUUGUAGACUAUAUCUACUAGAAGAGAAAAAAAAAAGUCUUGAGAAGAGACAUAAGCAUUUUGGGGUCAGCCUCACCUUUCCAUCUGCCUUUUCCAACAAAGGGAUGGAGACGGAGGCCAAAUGAGCACCAUCCAAGUCAGCUCCUUCUGAAACAGAGACAAAAAUAACUACAUCUCAAGUAUAAGAACAUACUUUCCCCUUUUUUUUUUUUUGGGAAAGGCACAGGCUUUUUUCACAUUACCAGCCAGAGGGAAUCUUUCUCAAACUUUCCAUAGAGAUUCUCCCUUGAGCAGGCACCAAACAUGGACAUUUUCUACCAGAGAAAAACAUGCUGGGGAGUUAUAAGCCUCUGGAACGAAAGCGUUGGGAAGGAAAUGAUGUAGAUCCCCCUCCCUCACCUGGGCUCCUCCCAGUCCUCCUGGAGCCAUGUUCCAGUGGCUAUAUGUUGUCAUCAGGAGAGUGCUAAUCAGAGGGACUGCAAGGAUGGAAGACAAGGGCAGGAGAGUGGACUGGGUCAGACAGUUGCCAGGGUCCAGUCCACACUGAGCACUGGGCCUUUCCCAUCUGGUGGGAAGAAAGGUUUUGAUUCUUCAUCCCUCAUACAAAUGGAAGGAAGUCACAGACAGCUUAAAAAAAAAAAAAGGUGUUUAAAGCAAUGUAUACAUUGUGGACAGUGAACGAAGCAUCUCAAUUCUGUGUGGGUCUGUCCAUAUAAAGAUGAAGGAGCCUCAUUUUCCAGCUGCACUGCCUCCCUCCUCUCUCCUAGCUCCUCUUUCCUCCUGUCAUCUCUUUGUCCAGCUUCUUCAUUUUCCUUCUCAUCAUCUGAAAGCCUUGAGAACAAAUUUUUAGGAAGUACCUGUGUAGGGCAGGGUACUUGACAACUUUACCAGGAAGGUGUUAUUUUUCAGGUGAGGACACCAGCUUUAGGGGAGUGAAGUGAUUAGCUUGAGGUCAUGCACCUAAGAGAUGUCAGAGCCAGAGUUUGCAUCUAGGCUGGUGAGACUCUGUGUGGGCUCUGUCAUGGGGUUCAGUUGCCUUAAGUCUCCUUUUCUUGAGAAAGACAUUGCUGGAUUGUUAUAUCCUAUCCUGUCUCUCAAGAUAAGCAACAUUUUAGUAAAAGAUAUUAUUUUAUUUUAUUUGCUUUUUAGGGCCGUACCCAAGGCAUAUGGAAGUUCCCGGGCUAGGGGUCAAAUCGGAGCUACAGCUGCUGGCCUAUGCCACAGCCACAGCAACUGUGGGAUCCAAGGCGCAUCUGCAACCUACGCCACAGCUCAUGGCAAUGCCGGAUCCCUGACCCACUGAGUGAGGCCAGGGAUCAAACUUGCACCUCAUGGAUUCUAUUUGGAUUCGUUUCCACUACGCCACAAAGGGAACACCCUGAAAUACUUUUAAAAAUGAAAAUUAAUACAAAAUCUGUGAUGAAAAAUGUAAAUCUUUUGAAUAAAGACAGGAUCAGUGUUAGCAGUUUUUCAUUUUGCUUGGGCUCUAAUGUGACACCAUGUUGACUUAUUCCUCGGGUCCUUAUUUGGGCCCAUUGCUCUCCUUUGCCCAUGUUCUUGUCCCUUGCUCCUUCCGAUGGAUAAUAUUGUAUGCCCCCACCUUUCAUCUCAGUGUGAGUAACUCCAAAUUCUACUUUCUCCCAGGGCUCAAGGAGGAGAAGCCUUUUGUUUCUUCAAGCUUCUGUUCACUUCAGGAGUUUGGGGUACAUGUCUUGUGUUUCCACUGACCUUUUGGAAAGCUCCGCCUGAACUCUGGUGACCUAAAGUCAACUUUUCCUCAACUAAGCUCACCCUUCCUCCCAUCCUGUCCUCAGGUCUGCUCCUGUCAAUGUCAGCAGCAGCCUUCUAGUCACCCGGCUCUCCCCUCAUUCCUAUUUCCAACAGCCAAUCUGCUGCCCACCCUUGUUUAUUAUCAAGUACCUCCUACAACUGCCCUUUCUUAUCCAAAAGCCCAGACAGACUAUGCCUGAACUGGCACUUGCUUGGGGUGGGAAGGCACAGAAGCAAGAACUUAAGCAUAAUCAUUUGUCUGAGGACCAGAGCUGUAGUGAGGGGCGUAGAAAGGGAUGGGCUUACUUAGAUCUGUGCAGACAGGGCAAGCAGAGGUUGGAGAAAGAACUAAGCACCACGUUGUUGAAAUAUCUUCUCAAUCUUUGAUUCCGUAAGGGAACAUAUAGGAUGUUCCAUGCUAUCUUCACUUGCUACAUGCUAGGGAGACAAAGAUUGAAAAUCAUUUCAGUUCUUGAGAAGCUCACAAUCUGGUGGGAAAGACAGACCCACAAAUAAACCCCACAGGAGCAUGCAGUUUGGGGUAACUGAGGAGGAAGUCACCAACUGAAGAUGAAAAGAUGGGCUAGGAAAGUUGCCCAGAGGAAAAGAUACUGAGCUGAACUUCAGUGUUGAAUGAAGGAGAUGAUUGAUGUCACUGGUGAUGAUGUUAGUCAUUAUGAAGAAGAUAGUGAAAAUCACCAAGGUGAUAAUUAUGCACAGGGAGACUCCAUCAAAAAGAUGGAGGUGAUAGGGCUGAGGAACGCAAACCACCUUGGUACCUCUGAUGUAAUGGAUUGGGCAGUGAUCCCAAACCAGUCCAGGAGGCCACACUGUGACUUCAGGUGUCUUUUCAUAGUCAUGGCUUAUGAUUCAAGAUAUAGUGUACCAGGAGUUCCCCUUGUGGCUCAGCAGUAAUGAACCCGACUAGUAUCCAUGAGGACAUGGGUUCAAUCCCUGGCCCUGCUCAGUGUGUUAAGGAUCCAGCAUUGCUGUGAGCUGUGGUGUAGGGUCGAAGAUUCGGCUGGGAUCUGUUGUUGCUGUGGCUGUGGCAGGCACAUCUGCUCUGUGUCCAGAGAGCUUGUGGAAGAUUAAAAAAGGAGCUGUACUUCCUAUGCCCUUCCAGUUCUAGAAUCACUGACCUUGGUAACUGGUAACUCUAGAGGGGCUUUCUCUCUCCCAAUUGGUCUGUCACAUGCUUGAAGUCUCCCGAUUAACACAUCAUUUCCUUAGCUUGUCUUGCAUCUCCAGAUGCAAGAGUUGGAAGGAUAUAUUAAGGCAUUAUUACUCCCAAACACCCCAGCAUAAGAGUUUAACAGCUUAUUGUCUCCUGGGUCACUGUAUUUUAAUACAAUGAAGGAAAACCAGCUUAAGAGUCUGGACCAUUUCUCAAUGAACAGGAUUGGGUGAGGAUGUGUUACAGAAGGGUUGGUAGCUUUGGGACCCCCAAAGCUUGAGGAUGAAGUCUGCAGGUGAUGGGAUCUGAGGAAGCCACUCUAGGACUCCCUGUUGCUAAUUAGAGUUGACCCUGGGAUAUAACUUCCUGAAGUAUUGAUCCAAAAUUACCCUCCUAGAACUUUGGUUGUUAUUACACCAUUGCCUGGGCCUCUUGCCUUCCACUACCACCUCCUCACCCGCUACCAGUUCCUCCCUGGGUACCUUGCUAAUAAGCUGUGUCCACAAGGGUUCUUAUCUCAGGAAAGUCUCAUCAUAAGGCAAUGGCUCUAACUCAUUCUCCUUUUUCUGGCUUCCUUCAGUCCAAAUCAUUUGGGUACCUGGCCCAUACUGUUUGGGCCAUGUCUAUGAGCCUUGCCUUCCUGGUUUUAGUGUAAGUUCUCUUGUCUCCCCUGGUUUGCCUGGCAGGCACUGGGACAUCCCUAGCACCACCCUUUGUCAGAGGUGGAAGGUCCAGGGGGUCUUUGAGACCAAAAGAGGAAACAGAGGCCCAGAAAAGCUAAAGGGCUUGUUGACUAAAUGAUACUUUCUCUUCUUCUCCCAACUGAGAUGUACAGGGAGACAUUUUGUCCCCAUGAUGAUCUGUUCUUGGUUUAUUGAGAUGAUGAUGAUGAUGAUGAUGAUGGCUCUUGCUAUGUGGUUUCUUGAGGAGUCCCAGGCCUUUGGCGUGUGUAAUUAGGAAACUUCCCGAAGCCUUUCUAAGAGAGAGACCCUAUGUCCUGCAUUUCAGGCAAACUGCCUUCGGCUUAGAGAUAUAGAGUAGUGGGGAAGUCGAAGGGUAGCAAAGUGAAGGAGAAUCACAGAAGGGUUUGGAGUGGGGUUCAGUGGACACUUGAGCACUUUAUCCCAGCCUUGGGUUGAGGAGGGGGCAGAGAAUGCCUUAAUGAUCAACUAAAGCCUUAGUUGAACGUUGAAGGCAAACAGGAGUUUCCAAGGUAGGGAGAUAGGCAAUUCCCUUCACAUUCAGUGUACAACCAACAUCUGAUGUAAAGAUGAUACUUUUUUAUUUGGAAAGACAUUUUUUUCAUAGAGGUAUAGGAACAGAGUUUGGAGUCAAAUGGGAUUUAAAUCUUGGCUCCAUCACUUUCUUUGCGACUCUGAGCAAGUCCAUUAUACUUUCCAAACCUCAAUACCGUCAUCUGUAAGUUAUGACAAUGAGUCCCACUUCACUGGAUGAUCAUCAAACUCAAAUGAGGCAAAUUAAUUCUUGAUGUGUAUGUGCAGAACCCUUGAGAAAUGGUUGUUGUGGUGUUCACAGAGAACUUUUAACUUUCAUCAUUACCAUAUGAAUAUUGAUUAUUCUCUCACUGUGUUCAAGUGUUGAAUGAACCUCAUCUUGUCUUGUGCAUCCUCAUUUAAGAGGACAGGAGAUAACACUGUCCAGAACUAGAAACUCUGAGAGGGUAAGGGACCUGCCCAUUCCUAUCUUAGGUUGAGUUCUCCAAGAAGCAGGCAUUCAGGUGAAGAUAGGAGUGUAAGCACUUUACUUGGGUGGUGAUCCCAGCAAACACUGGCUGGAGAGCAGGAAGUAAGGCAGGCAAGGGAAGUCAGUCCGUGGAGGAUGUGUGUUCAAUCCAUUUACCACCGUAGGCAGCUGGAGCUCUCUCCCACCAGGAGUGCAGUGUAAAGUAAACAUCUCAGGAUAGAAAGCCCAGAAUUAAACCCACACACCUACAGUCAACUAAUUUAUGACAAAGGAGGCAAGAAUAUACAAAGGAGAAAAGACAGCUCCUUCAAUAAGUGGUUAUGGGAAAAGUGGACAGCCACAUGUAAAAGAAUGAAAUUAAACACCUCAUAACACCAUGCACAAAAAUAAACUCAAAAUGGAAUAAGGACCUAAAUAUAAGACCAAAUACUAUAAAACUCUUAGAGGAAAACAUAGGCCAAACAAUCUCCGACAUAAACCACAGCAAUAUCUUCUCAGAUCCACUUCCUAGAGUAAUGACAAUAAAAGCAAAAAUAAACAAAUGGACUUAAUUAAACUUAAAAGUUUCUGCAUAGCAAAGGAAACCCUAAUCAUAACGAAAAGACAACCCACAGAAUGGGAGAAAAUAUUUGCAAAUGAAGCAACUGACAAGGGACUAAUCUCCAAAAUUUAUAAACACAUCCUGCAGCACAAUACCAAAAAACAAACAAACAAACAAACAACCCCAUCAAAAAAGUGGGCAAAAGACAAUUCUCUAAGGAAAACAUACAGAUGG